UACGUAGGGUGCGAGCGUUAAUCGGAAUUACUGGGCGUAAAGUGUGCGCAGGCGGCAGAGCAAGUCGAGUGUGAAAGCCCCGGGCUUAACUUGGGAAUUGCGCUCGAAACUACUUUGCUGGAGUGUGGCAGAGGAAGGUGGAAUUCCACGUGUAGCGGUGAAAUGCGUAGAGAUGUGGAGGAACACCAAUGGCGAAGGCGGCUCACUGGACCGGAACUGACGCUGAGGCGCGAAAGCGUGGGGAGCAAACGGG
rnacentral:rRNA from 1 species